UCUUCUGACUAUCUUCAAGAAUUUAACACAUCAUUAUAUUUAGCUGAGGAAAUUCAGCAAGCAGAUUGUGAAUGCAUUAACGGGAAAUGUGUUUUGAACUGAAACCGAGGGGAAUUGCCUGUCGGUGUCCACCGGAGUACGGCCACGUUACACCAACAGUGUGCCAAAAAUGUAAUUGCGGAAGAGAAGCCAGUUGCACGUUUGAUAAGAAAAAGGCUACAAAAUGCAUCUGCAGUGAAGGCUACAUGCUAUCGACUUACGGAAAGUGUAUAG